UACGAGGGUGCAAGCGUUGCUCGGAAUUAUUGGGCGUAAAGGGUAGGUAGGUGGUCUCAUUUGUCUGAUGUGAAAUCUCACAGCUUAACUGUGAAACUGCAUUGGAUACUAUCCGGCUAAGAGGAAUGGAGGGGAGACUGGAAUAACUUGGUGUAGCAGUGAAAUGCGUAGAUAUCAAGUGGAACACCAGUGGCGAAGGCGAGUCUCUGGCACAUUUCCUGACGUGAGGCACGAAAGCCAGGGGAGCAAACGGG
rnacentral:rRNA from 1 species